UCCACUAUUCACUGCCUAAAUUUGAAAUCCACUAUACACUGUACGCGUUGUCAACCCCAUCUCUCUAACGUAAUCCACUAUAAUGUCGAAAACCACUAUUUACCGUAAGCGCAUCGACACCCCCUCCUCUAUUCCUCGCGCCUGCAGCAGGUAUAUUUUGUCUGAAAUCCACUACAAGUUCAUCAAAAACCACUACAAAAAUAUAGAAAUCCACUACAUAAGAUUCCUUUACAAAGAGAAAACCCACAAAAAUCUUGCCUAAAUUCACAAAAAAAAUCGCCUUUAAUAAACAUUGUCAUUACAGACAAUAGUAGAGUCACCCGAGCAUCACCCAACCUCGUCCUACUUGUUGCCAUCACUUCGUUUGUGCAAAAACAUGAACGAAAGAAAAAGAAGACAACAACGUGUAAAUUUAAUUCAUUCAAAACAAAAUCGGUUUACAAAUCAAGAAUUUUAAAUCUACUACAAUCUCAUCCAAACCCACUACACAAAGUUGGAAAGAGAAAUAAACAUAUAAAACAUACUAAACAUAUGAAACUGACUAAACAUUCUCCCUCAUGAACAUAACAUGAGUCUCCAUUCGAAUGGAAGGAAAUACGAUAUUAAAUUAAAUUAUUAAUAAAAACUGUGCAUUCCCAUUUAUUGAAAAAAAAAAUAUUAAAUUAAAAUUGAAAGGCUCCGAAAAAUCAAGUAAAAAAAAAUGAACACGAAAUAAUCAACAUUCUCCAUACUUUUCAGAUUACCCGUACAUCUCGUCGAUCACAUCGCAAAAAAAAAAAAAAAAAAAAAAAAAAAAGAACACGAAAUAAUCAAAAUUCUCUAUACUUUUCAAAUUACCCGUACAUCUCAUCGCUCCCAUCACAAAAAAAAACACCGGCUCGUUCUGUGUUGUCUGGGAAUAUGGAGAUCUCCGCCCUAGAGGAUGAACGAACCGCGGCGGCUGAUAUGGUGGAUGACAAGAAGGCAGACGCAGGCGGUCCAUUAAGGCGGUGAUGAUGACGAAGCGGUGGAGGUCUCACGUCGGGAAAGAUGACCGAGAUUUGGAGAAGAUAUCUCUGCUAUUGUCGAGGAAAAGAGGGG
rnacentral:lncRNA from 1 species